GAUGAACGCUAGCUACAGGCUUAACACAUGCAAGUCGAGGGGAAACGACAUCGAAAGCUUGCUUUUGAUGGGCGUCGACCGGCGCACGGGUGAGUAACGCGUAUCCAACCUGCCCACCACUUGGGGAUAACCUUGCGAAAGUAAGACUAAUACCCAAUGAUAUCCAUAGAAGACAUCUGAAAUGGAUUAAAGAUUUAUCGGUGAUGGAUGGGGAUGCGUCUGAUUAGCUUGUUGGCGGGGUAACGGCCCACCAAGGCGACGAUCAGUAGGGGUUCUGAGAGGAAGGUCCCCCACAUUGGAACUGAGACACGGUCCAAACUCCUACGGGAGGCAGCAGUGAGGAAUAUUGGUCAAUGGACGAGAGUCUGAACCAGCCAAGUAGCGUGCAGGACGACGGCCCUAUGGGUUGUAAACUGCUUUUAUAGGGAAUAAAGUGAGCUACGUGUAGCUUUUUGCAUGUACCUUAUGAAUAAGGACCGGCUAAUUCC
rnacentral:rRNA from 1 species